GGACGUCAGAGAGAAAGGACGGGAUAAUAAAAACAGAGUGCCAGGAGUUUGAAGACUUGAACGCAAUCCCAAUAGUAAAUGAGUAUCUGCUAAUGAAGUGCAGCGUAAGGAAGGUUAGUUGUAGCUCAAACCUCUUGGCUGAAGCACUGGUGCCAAAUUAACACCUACCCUUCACUCGCUAGCAUGUCCUCCAGCACUUGGGUUCAUUUCCCUUACCUUAUCCCGCGUGAAUCCUCCCUUUGACGUCUUUGUGCUCAGGCCUUCUGCCUUUUCUUCCAUGCACCUCACAAACUCUGACUGCUUGGAAAACCCCACGGGCUGCUUUUUCACUUCAUUUCUUUUUUCCAUCCGGGAUUCAAACACAUCCGGACUGGACCUGCGCAGCUCCUGGAUCUUAUGGCGGUAUUUCCCGUAGAAGGGGUUCUCCUCCAGCACCUCCUCCCCCGGCCCCGUCGCCCUCCGGCACUGCGGGGCCGUCGCCCCCCGGCACGGCGGGGCCAGCAGCCCGAGCGGGCGCAGCGCGGCGCGGCUCCGCAGCGCGACCCCCAACCCCCAGCCCUGCGCCAGAGGCCCCGCCAUGGCGCCGCCGCCGCUCCCGCUCCG
rnacentral:lncRNA from 1 species